rnacentral:lncRNA from 1 species
UUGUAAUCGUUAAGCCUCGAUUUAACCAAACCAGAAAAUGUAACGCAUAUUCAAUACAGUUCAAUGCAGAAUAUAAAUUUAAUGAGAGUUAUACAACAUAAUGAACAAAAUGUACAAUAGAGCUGAUUACAUUUGGAGCUAAUCGCUGACAGAACAGUAACAAAUACCAGUGGAAAACUUGUACAAAUAUCUGCAGGGAACUCUGUCAACAGUUUUUACAUUAUUUACUUUAGCUUGAAACUGUGUACAGAAAACGUUUGAUCGGAUUACACAGCAUUAGAAUCGUUUUUAAAUGUACUUAAAGUAGCUACCGUCCUAAAGAAUUUCUCUAAUUGACGGUUUGAAGGAAUGAGUAAGUCGAAAACAACGCUAAAACUGACCACAGAAUGCUAAUUUUCGGAUCUAUUCUACGUAUAAGUGUUCUAUCCCAACAAAUCGAGUAUUGGUUGUGUUUAUUUUUGGCUCAAGAUGGUCGUGUCUUUGAUCCAGUCCAACGGUCAGUCAAGCCUCGACCAUAAGGCAUUUUAGGACAAAAUCUUACGACAAGACCCAACCAGAACGAACUCAGAUUUUGAAUGUGGACGCUACAUGAGAUUGGGAUUGGACACAGCCCUAACUUAAGAUUGGGCUCGAACAAAACUUAGGACCCAUUUAAAUGUUAGGACUAGACCCAAGAACAGAACUUAGAAUUGGACCCAAUUAGACAUUAGGACUAGACACAAUCAAAACUUCGGACUUGACCCGACCAGGAUCCCAAUAAAACUUUGGACAUGACCCGACCAGGAUCCCAAUAAAACUUUGGACUUGGCCCAACGAAAACUUAUGCUACAACUCCGUUGCAAAUUAGACAAAACUUAGGACUGAUCAAACUAGAACUGGUCACUGCUGGCGUAAAAUGAAAGGCGACUGUCUGAGAUAUUUUAAUUUUAAGCGAUAAAGACGAAACCUUUGGCGAUAGUCUAAAACCUUUCGACCUGAGGCGAAAGUCUAAAACCGUUCGGUCUGAAGCGAUAAUCGGAGACCUUGCAACAUGAGGCGAUAGCCUGAACCAUUUCGACCAAAGGUAAUUGCCUAAUAUCUUUGGACCAGAAAUAAAUUUGACUGAAUAUUGAUUGUACCUGUUGACCCGGACCUUGUAUAUCUAAGAUUUAGCAUUACACACAAGAACAUGCAAUAUCCUUAGUUGAUGAGACAUCUAGUCUAGAAUGUAAAAGAAAAGAAGUUAAAUCUAGAUAAUUUGUUUGCGUACGAAGGUGUGCUUUUAUGAAAGAGUGCAUCAGAAUGGGGAUUAAAGGCGAACACCUAAUAUAUCUUGACAUGUAAUCAAAUGUGGAAUCAGUAAAAACAUGCAUGUAGUAUUCGGAUAUAUGGAAGUUCUUGUCUCUAGCUGGAAGUUGAGGAUAACGUUCAAGCUCUAGACGAUAUGAGGUACAAUCGGAAACAAUGGCCACACCAGUUAUAUGACCAAGAAAGGAAAAACAGGAGUGUCCCGUAUUACAGUAACAUAGCCUAGAAUCGGAACGAAUCAUUGUCUAAUAUUUUUAUAGUUUAAAGCCUCAUAUAAGGGAACAGUACCUCGUGUUACUUAAGAUACAAAGCAUUGAAUGAGGAAUCAUCAAUUCCCCGUAUCAGAGUUACAUGAUCAAGAAAGGGGAAGCAUCAGUGAUCCGUAUUACAAUUAAAUAGCCUAGAAUAUAAGAGAAUCAGUACCCUGCGUAACAGUUAUACAGCCUAGAAUAAAGGAGCAUCAUUACCCUGCAUUACAGUUAUAUAGCCUAGAAGAAAGGAGCAUCAUUGCCCUGCAUUGCAGUUACAAAUGUAUAUAGCCUAGAAUAAAGGAGCAUAAUUACCCUGCGUUACAGACAUAGUUUGCAAAAAUUACCUAUUUAUAUACACGAAUCUUUUUUAUUUUUUCUUAGUUUGCUCAAAACCUUUAUGACUUUAAACUGUUCUGGAUAAACAUGACUCAACCUUUUAAACGAAAUUACAUCAAUAGUACUCCUUUAGAAACAGUAAAUGUUGAAGCCCAUAUCGGCUCGGUCAUUUACUAUUCCAAGUUACCAACAUAUUGACAGAGCGCCAGAUAAAGGUGUUAAUCAAAUUGCAUGGGCUCACUUUAUCUCGAAAUCCUCUAAAGAGUACCUAAGAAGCGGAGAUUUUAGGUCGUCACUUUGCUUUAUAUUUAGGUAAUCUAUAAUUGUGGGAAAUGAAAAGUUGACUUUAGAAAAAUGAUAUAAAAAUCCAGUCCUUAAGUGCUUUAUAUUUUAUGUUGUAUUUGAUGGGCAUAAAUCAAAUCUCCACUGGCAUAUAAGCUUGGCGUUUCUCAUAUGUUUGUUUGUGUUAGGGCUACACAUUCUUAACAGUAAAUGUGAUAUAAUAAGAAUAAAACGUUCAGACCCUUUUUAAACAUUUAAGACAUGUAUUUACUUGAUCAAAGUGAGUUUUUAACUUGGUUAGACAAACACAGAAAUCACUAAUCGGUCGUGUCGCCAGCUGGUAUACUAAUACAAACAUUCUUUACUACAUAAUAUACAUUUUGUAUCUCCAUUACUUCUAUAGUUUCAGCUUUGUUUCAUCCAUUGGAAUGGACUUUUUAACCGCUAGCCUUACCUCAUAUUACAAUUAUAUGGUCUUCAAUGGGGAAACAUUAGUACCACAUAUUAAAGUUUUGUGGCGGAGGGAAACAGUUUUCCCUCGGAUUACAGUUAUAUGGCCUACAAUGGGGAAGCAUUUGUGCCCCGUAUAACAGUUACAUGACUUAGUACAGGGAAACAUUUGAGCCCCGGAUUACAAUUAUAUGGUCUAGAAUGGGGAAAAAUUUGUGCCCCGUAUAAAAGUUAUCUGACUUAGAACAGGGAAACAUAUGAGACCCGAAUUACUCUUAUUUGGCUUAGAAUGUGGAAGCAUCAGUACUAUAUUACAGUAACAUGGUUUAGACAGGAGAAUUAUCAAUUCCCCGUAUUACAGUUAUAUGACCAAGAAAGGAAAAACAGGAGUGUCCCGUAUUACAGUUACAUAGCCUAGAAUCGGAACGAAUCAUUGUCUAAUAUUUUAAUAGUUUAAAGCCUCAAAUAAGGGAACAUUACCUCGUGUUACUUAAGAUACAAAACAUUGAAUGAGGAAUCAUCAAUUUCCCGUAUCAGAGUUACAUGAUCAAGAAAGGGGAAGCAUCAGUGAUCCGUAUUACAAUUAAAUAGCCUAGAAUAUAAGAGAAUCAGUACCCUGCGUAACAGUUAUACAGCCUAGAAUAAAGGAGCAUCAUUACCCUGCAUUACAGUUAUAUAGCCUAGAAGAAAGGAGCAUCAUUGCUCUGCAUUGCAGUUAUAUAGCCUAGACGAAAGGAGCUACCCUGCGUUACAGUUAUACAGCCUAGAAUAAAGGAGCAUCAUUACCCUGCAUUGCAGUUAUAUAGCCUAGAAGAAAGGGACAUCAUAAUUCUGCAUUACAGUUAUACAGCCUAGAAUAAAGGAGCAUAAUUACCCUGCGUUACAGUUAUA